rnacentral:rRNA from 1 species
AUCUACGGCCAUGCCACCCUGAACAUGCCCGAUCUCGGCUAAUCUUAGAAGCUAAGCAGGGUUGGGCCUGGUUAGUACUUGGAUGGGAGAACAGGAAUACCAGGUGCUGUAAGCA